GUUAUAAUACAUGAGUGGAUAGAAAAUUUUGGUAAUAUAUUAUGCCUGCUUUUGAAAAACCGGUUAUAAUAUCUCUUUAACUGUCUUGACUUCAUCAAUGGGCCGCUAACUCUUAAUCAUCUUCACACAGAAACCCUAACUGGCAGGGCACCAUCAGGUCUCUCGGUUGUAACAUUUCAUCACAAGAGCACAUCUUCAUCAUAAGCUUUUCACUCUCGCUUAAGAAUUUUUAAGCCGUCGUCUUCCAUCAACUCAUUGCUUCGAAGUUGUUAUCGGGGUGGAUGGCUUGCUUUACAGGGGUGUUGAGGCAGUGUGACAUUGUUAUAAGUUUCGUACCAUCCCAUUCAAGCUGACAGCACCGACGACAUGGAUGUUGUUCCUCACGACAAUGCUGUUUAUUGUGCUUAACUCUGUUCCUCUAUUGGCCUCUCCAGCGACUAUAUCCUGCACUUAUGUAUGGGCUACCUGGCAAGGACUUUUGCCAUUGGAGAGGAUUAUUCUGUUAACCCCGC